rnacentral:lncRNA from 1 species
GGGUGGUCCAUUUCCUUUUUUGACCCUUUUGGGUGCACACGCACUUUCUCCACAAGACCAUACCGCAUGGUGGUCAAAACGGUGGAAGCAGAAGGCCUGCAAUAAUCCUCGGAUUGAGGAUGAUCUGUCUUCUGCUGUGGGAUUGGGAGCGCUCCGCUAGGAAAUUUCUUUGACCUUUAGCGGUGAGCUAAUUUAUUAGAUUGUCUUCUAUUUUGUCAUGCUGGUCUUGAGAGCAUUAGACUAAUGUAUUUUUAUGUCGCUUUCAGGAGCCGGGAUUAUAUU